CCCCUCUCGCCGCUUGCCUCGCCCAGCGCAGCCCCGGCCGCUGGGCGCACCCGUCCCGUUCGUCCCCGGACGUUGCUCUCUACCCCGGGAACGUCGAGACUGGAGCGCCCGAACUGAGCCACCUUCGCGGACCCCGAGAGCGGCGGCGCGACUCACCGCGGAGGCGCCCGGACGCGUCAAUGUCCCCCAGGGCAAGGCCUGAACCAGGUCGCGAGGGUCUGUCUCCCGUCUGGGGAGCUGAACUGCCCGGGACACUGUCGCAGUCGCGGGGACUUGUCUGGAGCGGCGGGGUCUGAGCCCAAGUCCGAAGCCGCCGCCGCCAGCGUCCCGUGCGCCUGCUGCCCCAGGACCAGCCGCGAAACUUCUUUUCGGGACGGAGACAGCGCUCGCCGCCCGGGCCGAGGCCCAGCCCAAUAGGAAUCACCUGAUCCACACUCUUUCUAGCCCCAGGGAUGCUCAGGAAAGCAGCCCUUCUUUAGGGCUGUCAUCUGUUCUGGGGAUCUGUUGCUGUUUCUUGGGCCCACAGAAUACACUCCAUACCUCGGGACUCCAUAAUAUUGGACAAGGCUGGAAGGCCCAUUUGGCUCCUGCAGCCUCCUGUGCAGGUGAGGACAGACCCAAGGUCCAGGCGAUGCUGGCCUUUGGAACACAGAACCUGGCUCAGUGACUCCCACUCCAGUUGUCUUUUCCCGCUGCCUCCCUCCGGAGCAACCCCUGUCCCUCCUUCCUACCUCUCUCUAGGGCUGCACCCCCAGCUCACCUUAGACCUGGCCCUUCCUACCUGUUGCCCCUACUGUCUUGUCCCAUCCCAGUGGUCAGGAGGGAGAGUACUGGCCAAAGGCGCAGCUCCACCUGUGACUUAGGGGAGCGCCAGGCAUCACCCAGAGGUCCCAGCCCUCGGGGGCCUGGCAGGCUCUGCUGUGGGGGAAGCAGAGUUAGAACUGGGGCUGCUUCUCCUGCCCCCCGGCCUGGCUGGGCCUCCCCCACCUCCCUUUCUGCCUGCCCUCUUACAACUCCAGCAGGGGGCGGGCAGGGGAAAGAAAAGGAGGGACAAGUUGGAUGGGGUCCAUUUGGUGUCCAGGAACAACUUGGAGAGAGGCGGGGAGGGGACAGGCAGCAGGGCCCUGGCAAAGCCAGGGGAGGGCUGGCCUUUGGAUGGCCUUCUGAUCCCAAGCCCAUCCUCCUGGGGCAGUCUGCCCUUGAAAGGGAGGGUUUGGUGAACCCUGGUGGAGACCCCCCACCCACCUCACUGCCCCACUGUGGGGCAUGGUAGGCGGGUUUGCAAUGGGUACAGCCUCUCUCUCCAUUCCAGUAGAGCAGCUCCCAGGGCCCAGAGAGGCUGUCACUGAGACUUCUCUGGGGUGGGGUGGGUUCUGGUGGCCCUGUGUUCCCCUGCAGGAGGACCUCCUGAGGCUUCGGGCAGGAGCUGGUGCACACCUGGAGGAGAGUGCUGGUGAACGGCAGGUGUGUGCCUCAAUGUCCUUGCUGCCUGGGUGUCAGCCCUGCUUCACCACUGGCCUUUUGUCUCUGUCGCCUCCACUGGCCUCUUGAGGCACAGAGACCCUCCGGGUACUUUCCUUCCUCUGGGCUUCCGCUCAUGCUAUUCUCUGCUCCCUUCCUCUACCUGGAGACCCCCAUUCCUCCUCCUCCUCCACUGCCGUCCUCACCUCCACCUGGGCCCUCCCAGCUCCCGGGAGAUGGCUGAACCCCACUCCCGGCCCGCUAGUCAUCCUCUUCAGCAGUCCUCCCAGAGCUGUCCUCGACAUGGCAGCCUCCACAGCCCCUGGGUGUCACCCCUGGUUUCAUGUCUGCCUCGGACUCCAGACCUGCCCCUCCCAGGCUGGCCCAGAUGGAUCCUCUGCAGUGACUAACCCGAACCAGCACCAGGCAGGGACCCAAUAAACCUUUGUGAAUGGAG